rnacentral:rRNA from 1 species
GAUGAACGCUGGCGGCGUGCCUAAUACAUGCAAGUCGAGCGAACAGACGAGGAGCUUGCUCCUUUGACGUUAGCGGCGGACGGGUGAGUAACACGUGGAUAACCUACCUAUAAGACUGGGAUAACUUCGGGAAACCGGAGCUAAUACCGGAUAACAUGUUGAACCGCAUGGUUCAACAGUGAAAGACGGUCUUGCUGUCACUUAUAGAUGGAUCCGCGCCGCAUUAGCUAGUUGGUAAGGUAACGGCUUACCAAGGCAACGAUGCGUAGCCGACCCGAGAGAGUGAUCGGCCACACUGGAACUGAGACACGGUCCAGACUCCUACGGGAGGCAGCAGUAGGGAAUCUUCCGCAAUGGGCGAAAGCCUGACGGAGCAACGCCGCGUGAGUGAAGAAGGUCUUCGGAUCGUAAAACUCUGUUAUUAGGGAAGAACAAAUGUGUAAGUAACUAUGCACGUCUUGACGGUACCUAAUCAGAAAGCCACGGCUAACUACGUG